rnacentral:rRNA from 1 species
GACGAACGCUGGCGGCGUGCUUAACACAUGCAAGUCGAACGAUGAAACCUAGCUUGCUAGGUCGAUUAGUGGCGAACGGGUGAGUAACACGUGACUAACCUGCCCCUUUCUCUGGGAUAACGCUCCGAAAGGAGUGCUAAUACCGGAUACUCACACCGAGGCACAUGCCUUGGUGUGGAAAGUUUUUCGGAAAGGGAUGGAGUCGCGGCCUAUCAGCUUGUUGGUGAGGUAACGGCUCACCAAGGCGACGACGGGUAGCCGGCCUGAGAGGGCGACCGGCCACACUGGGACUGAGACACGGCCCAGACUCCUACGGGAGGCAGCAGUGGGGAAUAUUGCACAAUGGGCGCAAGCCUGAUGCAGCGACGCCGCGUGAGGGAUGAAGGCCUUCGGAUUGUAAACCUCUUUCAGUAGGGACGAAGCGAAAGUGACGGUACCUAAAGAAGAAGCACCGGCUAACUACGUGCCAGCAGCCGCGGUAA